AUUGAACGCUGGCGGCAGGCCUAACACAUGCAAGUCGAGCGAGCGGCGGACGGGUGAGUAAUGUCUGGGGAACUGCCUGAUGGAGGGGGAUAACUACUGGAAACGGUGGCUAAUACCGCAUACCAUCGGAUGUGCCCAUAUGGGAUUAGCUAGUAGGUAUGGUAAAGGCUCACCUAGGCGACGAUCCCUAGCUGGUCUGAGAGGAUGACCAGCCACACUGGAACUGAGACACGGCCCAGACUCCUACGGGAGGCAGCAGUGGGGAAUAUUGCACAAUGGGCGCAAGCCUGAUGCAGCCAUGCCGCGUGUAUGAAGAAGGCCUUCGGGUUGUAAAGUACUUUCAGUGGGGAGGCGUUACCCGCAGAAGAAGCACCGGCUAACUCCGUGCCAGCCGCCGCGGUAAUUC
rnacentral:rRNA from 1 species